rnacentral:piRNA from 1 species
GGCCUUGGCUUGGAGCAAGAUGGAUGG